GAUUUCUGGUAUGAUGCCAGCCUGGCCCGCCAGGUUCGCCUGUGUGUGUGCCGGGCUGUAUCUGCCAUCCUUCUAAUUCGAUGUGGUUCGUCCUUUAUUGGACUGAGCUAUGUUGGGUUAGAUCUUUGACUUUGAACAAAUUAGAGUGUUUAAAGCAGGCUUUUGCUAUGAAUACAUUAGCAUGGAAUAAUAAUCUAGGACUUCGGUUCUAUUUUGUUGGUUUCUAUAACUGAAGUAAUGAUUGAUAGGGAUAGUUGGGGGUGCUAGUAUUGGCCGGCCAGAGGUGAAAUUCUUGGAUUCGGUCAAGACUAACUUAUGCGAAAGCAUU
rnacentral:rRNA from 1 species